rnacentral:rRNA from 1 species
AUGAACGCUGGCGGCGUGCCUAAUCCAUGCAAGUCGAGCGAACGGACGAGAAGCUUGCUUCUCUGAUGUUAGCGGCGGACGGGUGAGUAACACGUGGAUAACCUACCUAUAAGACUGGGAUAACUUCGGGAAACCGGAGCUAAUACCGGAUAAUAUUUUGAACCGCAUGGUUCAAAAGUGAAAGACGGUCUUGCUGUCACUUAUAGAUGGAUCCGCGCUGCAUUAGCUAGUUGGUAAGGUAACGGCUUACCAAGGCAACGAUGCAUAGCCGACCUGAGAGGGUGAUCGGCCACACUGGAACUGAGACACGGUUCAGACUCCUACGGGAGGCAGCAGUAGGGAAUCUUCCGCAAUGGGCGAAAGCCUGACGGAGCAACGCCGCGUGAGUGAUGAAGGUCUUCGGAUCGUAAAACUCUGUUAUUAGGGAAGAACAUAUGUGUAAGUAACUGUGCACAUCUUGACGGUACCUAAUCAGAAAGCCACGGCUAACUACGUG